AAGUCGUAACAAGGUUUCCGUAGGUGAACCUGCGGAAGGAUCAUUAACACGUAUCCACGUAUCCACCCUCAGUGCAUCUGUUUUCACCCCCUCCCUCUUCCUCACAUGAGUUGGCUAGUGUGUAGUGAGCAGUGGUGUAGGUUUCACUUCGGUGACUUCCACUCAUUACGCAUGACAUUACAACUGGAGUGAGGCUUUAGAGGUUAUCUUCGCAUCGUUCCUCUCUACACUCGAGGGGCGCUGCGAGGGCUAUCAUAAACACAUCUAUCACAACCUUUUUGCUAGUUGACUUUAUUCAACGUUAGUUAGCGUUUCGGCGUUAAUUGACACGUUUGAAAUAUUUUAUUUCAAUCAAUAAACAACUCUUAGCAAUGGAUAUCUUGGUUCUC
rnacentral:misc_RNA from 1 species